rnacentral:rRNA from 1 species
AUGAACGCUAGCUACAGGCUUAACACAUGCAAGUCGAGGGGCAGCAUGGUCUUAGCUUGCUAAGACUGAUGGCGACCGGCGCACGGGUGAGUAACACGUAUCCAACCUGCCGUCUACUCUUGGACAGCCUUCUGAAAGGAAGAUUAAUACAAGAUGGCAUCAUGAGUCCGCAUGUUCACAUGAUUAAAGGUAUUCCGGUAGACGAUGGGGAUGCGUUCCAUUAGAUAGUAGGCGGGGUAACGGCCCACCUAGUCUUCGAUGGAUAGGGGUUCUGAGAGGAAGGUCCCCCACAUUGGAACUGAGACACGGUCCAAACUCCUACGGGAGGCAGCAGUGAGGAAUAUUGGUCAAUGGGCGAGAGCCUGAACCAGCCAAGUAGCGUGAAGGAUGACUGCCCUAUGGGUUGUAAACUUCUUUUAUAAAGGAAUAAAGUCGGGUAUGCAUACCCGUUUGCAUGUACUUUAUGAAUAAGGAUCGGCUAACUCCGUGCCAGCAGCCGCGGUAAUACGGAGGAUCCGAGCGUUAUCCGGAUUUAUUGGGUUUAAAGGGAGCGUAGAUGGAUGUUUAAGUCAGUUGUGAAAGUUUGCGGCUCAACCGUAAAAUUGCAGUUGAUACUGGAUAUCUUGAGUGCAGUUGAGGCAGGCGGAAUUCGUGGUGUAGCGGUGAAAUGCUUAGAUAUCACGAAGAACUCCGAUUGCGAAGGCAGCCUGCUAAGCUGCAACUGACAUUGAGGCUCGAAAGUGUGGGUAUCAAACAGGAUUAGAUACCCUGGUAGUCCACACGGUAAACGAUGAAUACUCGCUGUUUGCGAUAUACUGCAAGCGGCCAAGCGAAAGCGUUAAGUAUUCCACCUGGGGAGUACGCCGGCAACGGUGAAACUCAAAGGAAUUGACGGGGGCCCGCACAAGCGGAGGAACAUGUGGUUUAAUUCGAUGAUACGCGAGGAACCUACCCGGGCUUAAAUUGCAGAUGAAUUACGGUGAAAGCCGUAAGCCGCAAGGCAUCUGUGAAGGUGCUGCAUGGUUGUCGUCAGCUCGUGCCGUGAGGUGUCGGCUUAAGUGCCAUGACGAGCGCAACCCUUGUUGUCAGUUACUAACAGGUUCCGCUGAGGACUCUGACAAGACUGCCAUCGUAAGAUGUGAGGAAGGUGGGGAUGACGUCAAAUCAGCACGGCCCUUACGUCCGGGGCUACACACGUGUUACAAUGGGGGGUACAGAGGGCCGCUACCACGCGAGUGGAUGCCAAUCCCCAAAACCUCUCUCAGUUCGGACUGGAGUCUGCAACCCGACUCCACGAAGCUGGAUUCGCUAGUAAUCGCGCAUCAGCCACGGCGCGGUGAAUACGUUCCCGGGCCUUGUACACACCGCCCGUCAAGCCAUGGGAGCCGGGGGUACCUGAAGUGCGUAACCGCGAGGAGCGCCCUAGGGUAAAACUGGUGACUGGGGCU